rnacentral:rRNA from 2 species
UUGUAAGGCCUGCUCAAUGAAAAUUAAAUAGCCGCAGAAAUUUAACUGUGCUAAGGUAGCAUAAUCAUUAGAUUUUUAAUUAAAAUCUGGAAUGAAAGGAUUAACCUUUAAUAACUUUCCUAAAAUAUAAUUUUCAAAUUAUAAUAAAAAUAAAAAUAUUUUUAUAAUUAAAAAAGACGACAAGACCCUAUUGAACUUAACUUAAGUUAAGCUGGGGCAGCUUAUUAAAAAAAAUUUUAAUAUAAAUAUUUAUAUAAAUACCUAAUAUUAUUAAAUUAAACAAGUUACCAUAGGGAUAACAGCGUAAUUUUUUAAAAAAGUUCUUAUCUAAUAAAAAGAUUGCGACCUCGAUGUUGAAUUAUAUCCCUUUUAAAGCAAAAUUAAAUAAAGGGGGUCGUCGACCCAAA